rnacentral:rRNA from 1 species
CAGUAGCCGCGGUAAAACGAGGGGAGCUAGCGUUGCUCGGAAUUACUGGGCGUAAAGCGCGCGUAGGCGGCUUUAUAAGUCAGAGGUGAAAGCCCGGGGCUCAACCCCGGAAUUGCCUUUGAAACUGGAAAGCUAGAAUCUUGGAGAGGUCAGUGGAAUUCCGAGUGUAGAGGUGAGAUUCGUAGAUAUUCGGAAGAACACCAGUGGCGAAGGCGACUGACUGGACAAGUAUUGACGCUGAGGUGCGAAAGCGUGGGGAGCAAACAGGAUUAGAUACCCCUGUAGUCCCUGUCUCUUAUAC